GUGCCAGCCGCCGCGGUAAGACGAACCGUGCGAACGUUGUUCGGAAUCACUGGGCUUAAAGGGCGCGUAGGCGGUUUGCCAAGUCAGGGGUGAAAUCCUGCAGCUCAACUGUAGAAGUGCCUUUGAUACUGGCGAACUCGAGGGAGGUAGGGGUGGGUGGAACUUCUGGUGGAGCGGUGAAAUGCGUUGAUAUCAGAAGGAACGCCGGUGGCGAAAGCGACCCACUGGACCUUUUCUAACGCUGAGGCGCGAAAGCUAGGGGAGCAAACGGGAUUAGAUACCCCGGUAGUCCUAGCCCUAAACGAUGGGUACUAGAUUGUAGACUGAUCAUGGGUUUACAGUCGAAGCAAAAGUACUAAGUACCCCGCCUGGGGAGUAUGGUCGCAAGGCUGAA
rnacentral:rRNA from 1 species